rnacentral:rRNA from 1 species
UACAGAGGGGGGCGAGCGUUGUUCGGAAUUACUGGGCGUAAAGGGCGCGUAGGCGGCCUUCUAAGUCGAACGUGAAAUCCCCGGGCUCAACCCGGGAACUGCGUCCGAUACUGGGAGGCUUGAAUCCGGGAGAGGGAUGUGGAAUUCCAGGUGUAGCGGUGAGAUGCGUAGAUAUCUGGAGGAACACCGGUGGCGAAGGCGGCAUCCUGGACCGGUAUUGACGCUGAGGCGCGAAAGCCAGGGGAGCAAACGGG